UACAGAGGGAGCAAGCGUUGUUCGGAAUUACUGGGCGUAAAGGGCGCGUAGGCGGCCUUCUAAGUCAGACGUGAAAUCCCUCGGCUCAACCGGGGAACUGCGUCUGAGACUGGAAGGCUUGAAUCCGGGAGAGGGAUGUGGAAUUCCAGGUGUAGCGGUGAAAUGCGUAGAUAUCUGGAGGAACACCGGUGGCGAAGGCGGCAUCCUGGACCGGUAUUGACGCUGAGGCGCGAAAGCCAGGGGAGCAAACGGG
rnacentral:rRNA from 1 species